AUGCAGAUAAUUCCAAACUCUAACACUGAAGUUGCAGUUAAAAAACAGAUGGUCUCUUGUUUCUCUAGUUUGAAGUGGGCAGAGCUUAGAAUAAACACCAUCAUCCAUGUGCCAUACCAGUGGCAAGUAGCUGUUUCAUCCAGAGGAUCCAUACUUGCAAAUAUUCUUGAAGCCCAAGACUCAGGUUAUGGAUGGCGAUGUAUCAGCGUUCUAUAUACGACAGCUCGUCUUGGGUCCUUCAGGCCAUUGCCACUUGUUCAGAAAGCUUUUAUUGGUCUAAUUGCUGGAGUGGUUGGCGCAUGUCUGGGCAGUCCUGAUGAUUUGGCAAUCAUUAGGAUGCAACCUGACUCGACCUUACCAGCAGCACAGCGGCGUCACUACAAAAAUGCAUUCCACGCACUCUACCAUAUCACCGCUGAUGAAGGUACUGUUAUUGGAACCAGUGCCAUUUCUCGAUUCUUUGCGUCUGCUUGCAGUUUGCCCUUUGAUUACGGGAAAACACAAAUUGAAAAGAUGCAACCUGAUGCCACUGGCAAGUACCCAUACACUGGGUCUUUGGACUGUGCCAUGCAAACCUUGAAUACAGAAAAUUUCUGGCUUGAAUGCCACUAUUAUGGGUUAAACUUGCCUGUUUGCAACUUGCUACUCCGCCAGGUGACCCGCCGAACUCUUAACAGUCAACCUUUUUCAAGACCCUGA
rnacentral:rRNA from 1 species